GCGAAAAUCAGCCUGUUCACGUGCACACGGCCGCACCCAGCCCUGGACAAAGAUGCUGGAAACUUCCCAGCUCUCUGUCCUCCCCGUCUGGCUGGGCCCCGAGGAGGGAAGGGCGGCCCGCGGGAGGACAGAGGAGGAGCUGGUUUUCUGCCCUAGGAAGUUACUUUUCACCGCAUCCUCUUGAAGACUGCGUGUGGGGCCAGGGCGCCGGAGGUGAGCUAGGCAGAGGUGGGGCUGGGCCUGUGCGGGCAGCGACCGCGCCCAGGGCGUCCAUCUUCUUCUGGAGUGAAGGGAGCUUAGCUUCUCUGAGCAAAGAAGCCUCCGCCAAGACCCCUCUCUUCUCCUUCCUGUCGUUACUGUGUCUUUUUCCCGUUAAAAGUGCUUGUGUUUACCUUACACAAACUGUUCUCCAAAAUCAGCUGUUCUGAAACCUACGUAGAAUCUAGGCCGAGCGAUACAGUGACCCCGGAAAGGACAAAUCGAUGAGAUCGAUGUGAUUUGUGUUCUCGCCCGUGUGUUUCCCGGCUGCUCCCUGGUCACUUAAUGCUGGUGGCUCCCCGGGGACGCUGGCUGCGCUGACAGUAUUGAUCGCCCUGGCAGGAUGAGGGGCGGGGGUCCCCGAGGACGCAGGGCCACCCCAGCACAGCCAGGUACAGAGGCACGCCCUCCGCGGGCCUUUGCUGCUUCCUGGGGCCACACGUCUUGGCAUCGGUGCUGGUGGCGCUGAGAUGCCCAGGGUCCCCCCCGUGCCCACAGCCCCAAGUCCCAGGAGGGAUGUGCUUCCUGCACUCCCACACACACUUCCUGGGGGACGGGAGAAGGGAGCCCUGCCUGGACCAUCGGGGACCCUUCUAUGCGGCCGUGGGUCCCGGUUCUGCUACUGCAUAGCUGUGUGGCCUGGGGAAGGUCACUCAGAUUCUCUGUGCCUCAGAUUUCUUCUCUGGAGGGGGAGCGGGGCUGCGGGGACUGCCCGCUGAAGAGCGCAGGACGUGGAAAGCACGACCGCUUGUUUUACGGUAUUGAAAACACCUGCUUUCAUCCGAGCGCGUGUCACUGAGCAGGUGUGCUGAGUUCCUGGCUGAUCAGGAAAACUUCACGUUCGGAAGCCCAGCCGGGAGCCCUGUUGGCAAUCGGGUCCUCGUGGCCGUGAUGAGGCAAGGAUCUCCACGAGAGCAUCCCGGGUGGGGGCGGGCCCUAAACCCAGGACUGGCGACCCCGUAUGACGAGGAGAGAGCCCAGAGGGAGGCCGCGGUCACAGCCCCCGGAAGCUGGAAGAGGAAAGGGCUGGGGGCUCCCCCGGAGCCCGCGGGAGAAACCGACCUGCAGACCCCACGCCGUGGCCGCGGGAGGACAGGCUCCUGUCCUUCUCAGGCACCCAGUCCGGUGGUUCCCGGGAAGCCGGCAGAGGCUGGUUCCCCAUUUUCCCUCGAGGCUGGAGUGUCAGCAGGGUCACCGACAGGUGUCUUGGGGUCCCGUGGAUGGUGCCCUCAUCUCCGGCCCUUGGACCACACCCCUGUCCUUGCUGCUCUGCCCUGGGGCUUCUCUCUGGCCGUAGACCUGGUCCUGCCCUUUCUGAGGGGGCCUUAGUCGAAGGCCCCUGAUGGUGCAGCAGAGUCCCCAGUCCGGUGUGGGCUGUCAGUCCUCCGCGGGGCUGCCCCUGACCCCCGCCCCCAGGUGCUCCUGUGUCGCUGCCUCAGCGGGGUCGGCAGUCUCCCCGGGUGCGUCCCUAGCGGGGAGUCCUGUCCUGCGCCCGGUGCCUCCCGGGAUGGCAGUUUGAGCAUCUGCAGUCCCAUCUGUAGGACGGACAGACCUCAGGGAGAAGAGCCCAGGGAGGGCUCCUUGGGAUGACGGUGCCCAGUCCUGCAGAACACUCCCCUCCUGGGCAAGGUGACCUCCAAGUGGCCCUGUGACCCACAUACCCGGGAAAGAAUCAGUCCACUUCCUAGAGGGGUUGGUGCAGGGGGAGCUGACGUGUAUCUGUGCCUCCUUCCUGCUGGGAACUUAGGUGCAGGCGCAAUCCUGUUCAGCGUCGCCACCAAGCUGCUCCACGUCUGUCACGUGACACGCUGGCUUGAGGUUCAGAAGGUCACCCGGCCGCCGGGAAGCUGGGCAGGCGACCCUGCCGCGGCCGCAUCUUGGCCUGGGUGGGCUGUGGGCAUGUCGGCCUGCCUGCUGCCAGCCUGGCUCGUGCAGGGUCAGCGUGGGCCCUCGGCGGGGGACGGACCCUCCUUCUGCAGGACGGCCGUGGACGUGGAGGAGCCAUGCUCGCCACCCACGAUCCCCCAGGAGGAGGAAGACCCUCUUUCCUGGGUUGGUCGGGACCCGGAAGGGGAGGGGCAGCCCCCCACCCCCACCCCCACCCCCAUCAGGGCCCAUGGCCGUGAGCUUGUGGGUCACCUGGCAACUUGCCCCUGCAUCAACGACCAGGCCGGGGCCUGGCUCUGCCCUGUGCCACCCACUCUGGUGACAGGCCACCUUCGUCGCCCGAGGUGCCUCCGUGCUCCGCCUACCCCCGCCCCCUGCCUGCGUAACCCCCUCCUGCCGUCCCCGUGACCAUGCCUGUCCCUUCCCGUCCAGCGCCGCCCAGGACAGUCUGAUGGGAGCCACACGGAAAGUUAGAAGCGAAUGUGAUCUUGACUCGAAUGAUGUCGUCUUUCGUCCGUGGUCUCCAACCUGCUCGCGUUUGCACGUGAUCUGCAUGAAGCCUCUUAACCAGAGGGUCUCUGUUUAACCGAGUGUUUGCUAAAGCCUUCAGGUGCUCGGCGGUGGCCCGUGGUGACGGCUGGCUCAGCCCAGACCCUGAGGCCGUAGUCCCCAGGCCCGGCCGGAGCUGAGCGGGGCCAGCGGGCUUGGGCCGCUCUUGGCGCCAUCUGUGGGUACUUCCGUGUCACCUGGGGGCGGCGGCCUCUGCCGCCGGGGUUGCCGUGGCGGUGCGGUCAGGAGCCCGGCGCUCCGCGGGGUGCCCGCCCGUCCCGGGCUGCUGGGCCACGGCUGCUGGCGGGAUGCGGGGCCCUCUCCUCCAGGGUGUGGCUAGAGAACGGGGGCGCGGCCCGUCCACGCUGGCAGGGCCUCGUCCUCAGGGGCCUCCCUGGGCGGCAUCUGGGAGGGGCGCCCUCCCCGGCUGGCCUCCCAGGGGGCGAGCUGGGCGCAGUCCGGGCCGCUGAGGGAGGGCCGGCGGGGCUCCGCACAGAGGUGGGUGUGAGUGAGCCACGCGCACCUGUGUGGGCGGGUGUGCACCUGUGACCGUCACGGAACGUGAGCUUGUUUCGAGUGUCGCGCACCCCCUGCCCGGCCUCGGGAGGCGUCAGGACCCUGCUGCCCGGCAGGCUUCCCCCGGCCUUCCCCGUUCCCUGGGCACCUCCCCCUGCCCCGGGAGGACCAGCUUGUCUGUGCGUCCUGGGUGCGAACCUGACCUGGAGGGACCCGCUUGCCUUCUGCAGCCCGGAGUCCUCGCUCCAGCCAGCUGUGGUGGGAGCCGCCUGAGAACCACUGGUUCGGAAAAAGACCGCAGAUAUGCUCAUUACGUGGAAAACUUUUAAGCUCAGAGACCUGGAAGAGAAAACAUGAAUGACCUUGUGUCCACUCUACCCCUAACUACCACUGCCAUCUGGUGGUUUCUGUCUUUUAACAUAAAUUCUGCGGCUCCCUCCCUGCUCUCAGGGCUUGAUUGACGGCUUCCCACUGGGGUUACCUGCCACGAGCCACGCCUCGCUGCCUGCUGAGCAGGUUCUCCGGGGGUGCGAUCUCUCGCCAGACCGCGUCCCUGUGUUCCUGCGUCCCAGAGCCUGGAGCCCUGAUCCAGAGGGGUGGACAGUGAGCACAGAGCCUGGAUCAAAGAUGGGCCAAUCCUUUGGGAUGUAUUCUGAAAAAUCGGGAUGAUUUUGAUCCACAAAUCCUGAAGAGAAAGCGACUCCUUUUUUUUUUGCAUCGAGACUUAGCCCCAGUACAAAUCGGAGGAGGAAACCUGGCCGCCAGAGGGAAGUAUCAGUCGUAACAUCAUCCUACAACUGGACUUACUCUGUAAACGUGAGGGGAAAUGGAGGAAGUCCCCUACAUUCAGUGUUUUGGGGCCUUAAAAAAAUGAGGUACGUGUAAGCAACGUAAGGUCAAUCCUGGCCUGUUGGCAGCCGUUUCCGAGGGCUCACGACCAAGAAGGGAGGGACCUAAGGCCCUGCCUGUACCCACAGCAAACCCAGAGAGAGGAAGGAACGUCUCCUACCUCGGUCUCCUCCUCAUCGGGUCCUCAACGUCCAGACUUACAAACAUGCGCUUCUCCCUGCCGCCCUGCCCGUAACGUGGCCGACAUGUGUCCCCUACAAGAAGCUGGGGUGCAGGAAGGGGGACGCGGGGAGGCACGGCCAUGCCCCAGGUAGUCGAUGGAAGCUACAAAAAUUGGCUGUUGGCCCGGAAGGGACCCUGGAAGCUCUUACGAACUGCCUAUCGGGUAUGUUACAACCAAGAUAAAGAGGAGAAUGAAGAACCGGAAAGGAGGCUUAAAACGACAAAACCGAGGCCUUUGCCGUGGCCUUACGUACUAUGUCAGACCAGACUUCCCGAGGCCCUGGCACCAAGUGCCAUUUAUGUGGCUGUUAGGGCACCGGAAACGAGAAUAUCCUCAGAGGGGACAGGUUGAAGCCCCUCAAUCUGCCAGGGCUCAGGUAACCAGUGUCCCCGAAAGGGCUCUCAAACCUACCACCUGUUGGAAGCUCAGAGCCUCGGUAACUCUGGGAACAGAGGGAAAACCGACUGAUUUCCUUCUUGACCGCGGAGCCACCUGGUCUGUCCUUUCCGCUCCUGGCCGAGCGUCCAAACGCAACGUAAGGACUAGAGGCGUCUCCGGAAAACUGAGGACUAAAUUUUUCUCUCAGCCACCGGGGUGCAUGUGGGAAGACCUAGUUUUUUCACAUUCUUUUUCACAAUGCCAGAGAGCCCCCCCCCCCUUUGCUGGGAGGGACAUUACGACUGGAUGAGGGACUAGGGUGAUACUGGCCCCAGGACACAUGAACAGUUGCCUGAACUUACAGUAAUCUGGAUGCCGAAGGUCAGUCUCCCCUUGAGGUAAAAUUCUGCCUCAUGGAGUUGUUCCCAUGGAAACUGGAUGGCCAGAGGAUGGAGAGCCAUGAACUGGUUCAGGAGCUUAAUCAUUCUAAUCAGCCAUAACACAAGAUCCAAAAACAUGGUUAAAUUGCCAACAACAAUAGGACCAGACACGUCGGGGACUCUGGAUGGCUACCGUGUGCGUGUCUUCCCUUGGCGUGACCCCCUCCCUGGGAGGCAGCGCAUUUGGAAAUACUAUUGCUUGUUGGUCUAAUACUGUUUGUAGGUCAUUUGUAGAAGCUGUUGCACAAGUCAGGAGAAUAAGACCGCCAAGAAACUUCCGCUAGCCCUGACGUUCCAAACACCCUCCCAUCACGUCCGCCUCCGGAUGGACCUCUGGGCCCGCCCUGACUGCCAUUCCCCUGUUCCCGCUCCCCUUCGGGAAGCGGUGAAGGUGGGGGGUCAUCAGGGUUCCUAAUGGUAGUCGGGAGUCACGUGUUCAGAGGGGGGUAGGGAAAGACAGGGUUACAUAGGCAGAGAGGGAAAGGUUAGGACCCGAGGCCACUGCGCGGGAAAAGCACAAGUAUUUUGCAACAGUGCUGGGAGCUGCUGACCACAGCGAACGCCCUGGGGCGUGAGGUUCCUAAGAAUGCGACAGAGCCCACCUACUCCCCUUCCGGUUUCCCCCAGGAACUUGACGAAAGACUUAAGUGUGGCCAUAGACCGCCCCCCACACGAUGGAGUCGGGCCCAUCGGGAGAGGACGGUCCAGCACCGGGAGCUACCAAGCCAACAAGGAAAUAAUCAAGUCGCUCUGUCGGUUCCGCGUCACGGACUCCCGUCGGAUCUCUGACAUCGGGAGUCUUGUCGUUGCACUUUGGUGCCCUGCCAGUGUCCUGCGAAGGCACCUCCCUCCAAGGAGUCACGGAAAGGACUGACAGGUAGGACCUGACAUCGUGAAAGUGAGCGGGAUGAGAAAUUCUAGAGCUAAUAACGAGGAAUGGAUUCAAGCAGAACGAGUAUUAGAUGGAACCGAAUGGAUUCAGAACUAUAAGUUUACGACUUCUGCUUUGAAACACUGUUCUUUACCUUUUUCCAAACCUAAGAAAGCCUUCUCUUAUGGGAUCAGCAAUUUAAGAUAUUGCUUUGUGAACAAAGGUAAACAUUUUUCUCCCUCUUUGGCCCCUCCAGAAUUUGCAAACUUCAUAUUCUUGUGCAAGUGUACUGCCACUCAAAGGAGUGAUUUAGGAAUCCGUUCUCGUAACAGGACAUGAUUGGGAAUGUUGGUUAUAUUACCGGGCUCUGACCACAAGGUCUUAUUUGAGGGAGAUGUAAAGACUCCGAGAUGAUCGGCUUCCAGGAACUAAGGCUGACCUUAAUGGAGCCUAUGAGGGCCUUACUUACAGGGUUCCUGGCGGCCUGACCCGGUGAGGAGGGAAGGUCGCUUCUUGGCAGGCCCAAGAAUCUCAGGAAAUGUUUGGAACCUUGAGAAGAGAGGAAUUCACCCAAAUCUGUAUGUAUUGCAGGCAAAGUCUAAUGAUGGCUCCUUAGCGCGGCUUCUCAGCCUGGAGAGUCUUUCAAAGUUCACGGGAGAUUCCUUAUGGAAAGUCUGAGCAAAGCGGACUUAAAAGUCUGUAUGGUGAGCACUCUUCUUCUGCAGUUAUGUAAAUAACAAGGCCAAGGUACUGAAACUGUGAAAACAGAGUUAAUCUUGCCGUGAAUGUGGGGGUGACUGUAGAGAGAAAUUACGUUUCAGUAAUAUGCCUUCGCAGACAGCAGAUUCUAGUGCCGUGAACGGCCCGUGACGUUUUGUUUUUACCUGUAAACCGGACUAGAUCCUGAGUUCUUCUAUUUUCUUCCUACAUUUGGCUGCAACUCUCCAAACUGGCAUUUCCAGUUCACCCCCUCCCCGCCACCAGUCCUUCUGACUCGGAAUCGUUGAGAACCACAACUGCCCUUUCCCUGAAGCCGUGCAGGUUACAGCCGGACGCCAUCACAUAAAGUUCAGAGAAACCAUAACGGCUCACGUGUGGAUAACUGCCGGGCCUGCUGCUGUGCGGGCCACUCGGAGAGCUCGCCAGACGGCCUCCCUGCAGGCCAGGGCCGUCUGUCUUGUUUCCACUGUCUGCUCCACCCCACCUGAAGAUGCCGCAAGCCGGGCAUCUGGACGUCUGUGCGCCUGGCUGCCUCCGGAACUCACCGAGACCGGAUCUGCUCCCCAGAUUAACCUUCGUUUUUUGUCUCCCCAGAAAUGCCUCUUAUUAAAUAUCUGAUGACUUGCCCCCAGACCUAACUCGGGAGCCUCCUGAAACGGAGCCGGCUGCUUAACCGAACGGCCCCGUCGUCAGGACUGAGAGGCUGGCUCAGUGAGCCGGAGCGGUCCAUCAGCCCAGAAGUUUCAGAGGUGGGACCGAGGCCGGGAGAGGAUAUGUGACCCCCAGAUAUGCUGCUCUGGCGCGUGGAUUAAAUUGAGCUAAAGACCAUCAGGAUGUAGCAGAUUUAAGAAAAAACUUGCCUCUCGCUUCUUGGAAGGGUUUGGACAGGAGGCCUAGCCCCCGGCGGGAGCUGUUACCGGCUAUGAACUUUUAUCUGAAUGACCCAUACGCACAGCAGGGCAAACCUCUCAUGACUGCAGAUCCGUUGUCAUUACGGUCCUGUGAAGCCCCAGGCCUCCACCCCUUCCUCCGCUCAGGACGGCAGAAGCCUCCGCUGCCGGGCUCGUCCCGGGGUCUCAUAUUCUUAUGGGGCCCCUGUAUGUACGUGAUUAAACUUGUCUCCUGUUAACCUGUCUCGUGUCAGUUUAUUAGACCAACCGAAGAACCUAGAAGGGUAGAGGAGAAAACUCCCUCCUCGAUAGUGUGUAAAUACUGCACACGUGUCCUGACCCUCGGGACGAAAGACCACGCAAGGACACACGUCCCGGCCCGCCUGCUUGUGUUACGCAUCAGAAGCCCCCGCGUCCCGCUCCCUGUGACGUACAAAACACUGAAGAGAGACGGUGGUUUCUUUCACCCACCGCCAGGCCUGUCCAAGGUGUGUGGUGCUGGCUGAAAACGAAUCAGAUGAGGACAAGUGACGUGUUUACUUCUGGGCCGCAAAGGAGGGAACGAGAGAGAAGGCCGUGUGUUUGGUAUUUCUCUGCCUUUAUGCUCACCUGGACUGGAGGAUUUACAGAGAAUGGGUGGUUGGUCAGCGUUCCUCUGCGGACAGUCAGAAUGAAGAGCGGAAGCAGGUCAGCUCCCGGGAAUAAGAGGGACGCGGUGCCUCACACGGACCCCGCCUCCCGGACACCACGUUCGUGAACCGUGGCAGAGUCGCGGGCACUCGGCCGCCUGGAGUCUAACAAACCGCUCGCCUGAGGGUCUGGGCCCGGCCGUGGCUCCGGGUGAAGACGACCCGCCCCCGGGCCCCGGGGAAAGGGGUGUCCUCGGAGCCAGCGGUCAGGUCAGGGUAUCCGCUCCGGCGGACGUGCUGCACAGGGGCCCCGUGGCCCCAGAAGGCGAGCGUCCUACGCCAGCUUGAGGCACUGUGUGUUGAAGCUGUCCCCUUCUUUGCUGGCGACGGCCUCGAGCAGAGCCUGCUUCUUCUGCGCGCUGCGGGAGGACUCCAGCUCGUACAUGGUGGUCAGGUUGAAGAGCACGCUCUCGUGCAGGUAGUGCGUGGGGUCCUGCUGGACCAUGGCCUCCAGCUGCCGCAGGGAGUCCUUGAGUCUGCCCAGGUAGAGCAGACACACGGCGGCGUUGUUGUUGGCCUGGACGGGAGGGACACGUGCACGGGAUCGGACACGGCCACCAGCCGGUGGCCCCCGAAACCCUCUCCCAACCACCGUGACACCGGCCGACGGCUCAGGACGGGCCCACAGCCGCGAGCUCCUGUGUCCUCUAGGAUCUUACCACUGCAUUUGUCGGCUCAAUCCUUAGGAUUUCUGUGAAGAACCUGUGGGCUUCUGCAAAGUUAUUCUGACCGAGGUGAAGGAAGGCUCUGGAACGUGAACGACAGUUUUCAGGGAGGCGGCAGAGGAGGACCGACGCUCGUCUCCCGCCGUGGAUCAUAGAAAACACGCACGUUACUGCUGACAACCCAGAGGGCGAUCCGAAGCCCGAAGAAUAAACACCAGGGGUGAAGGCAGGAGGCCACACGGGAGAGGGGGAGGGCAGAGAGGAGCUAAGCCCCCACGGGCACAGAGACGGGUGAGAAGAAGGUGAUCACAGCAGGGAGCCCAGCCGGGAAGACAAAUCCCCAGAGUGUCUGGCUCUGAAAAUCAGAGGGGCCGAAUUUUGUGAGUUCUUACAAGCAGCAGGACUUGAAGCCCGGAACUUUGAAAACCAGCGGGCUUGGGCUUGGGUUCUGGGAGAGAAGGGUGAUGGGGUGACGGAGAGCUGGGUCCCUGCCCGUAAGGGACAGCACAGCAAAUGGUCCGGAGAUCCAGAUUAGAAGCAGUGUCCUGAAAGAAGCCUGGGGCGUGAGGGAGGGAGAGUGGGUUCCCGAGGGACUUCUCCAGGAGCAGAGGAGGGGGCAGGGGCCGUCUCCCUCCCCCGCCCGCACCAGGACACCUGCACUCACUACCUACCCUUACACCUUGCCCUGCCCCAGUCCUGGUGCCGUGGGUCCCCUCGCCCCGGAGACCGGCUUGCCAACAGUGCGGCCCGACUUUCCCGGGAGGAAGCACCCACCGUGUUAAAACCGCAAUCCCCCUCCCCCCGCUCAACAGGAUGAAUGUGCACACUGCCCGCGGGUGCUUUGCAGGGUGGCCCCGGCCGGCCGGGUCUCCACAGCAGCUACGCUUCCUCUGUGGAAGAGAUCAGUGCCUUUCAUGAAAAGCGUGCAACCUGCCUGCCACUUUCAAGAGCGAGAGACGUAGCAGACUUUCCCAAUGCACACGCGCACACGCACACCCACAGUGAGGCAAAGCGAGGGGAAGGGUAUGUCCCAAAUGAAAGGGCAGAAUUGUGGCAAGAGACCCAAGUGAAAGCUGGAGGCCGGCGGUGCCUUCCAGAGAAUUCAGUGAUCACGAAGAUACUCGCUGGACGUGAGGCAAGAGUGGAGGACAUCAGGGAGACCCUCGGCACAGAGAGAAAAACCAAUCGGAGAUGAAGAACACGAUACAUGAAAUACAAAAUACACUAGAUGGAAUAAACGGGUUAGAGGAAGCCGAGGGGCGAGUUAGCAACGCGGAGGACGGGGUGAUGGAAAGUAUCAGGCUGAGCAAGUAAGAGAAAGUGCAAAAUGGGGGGGGGACAUAGGGAACUCAGGGACUCCGUUGAGAAUCCUAACAUUCGCACUGCAGGGAUCCCAGAAGAGGAGAGAGAAAAGGCAGAAGAUUUACCUGAAGAAGUAGCCGAAAACUUCCCUAAUUUGGGGAAGGAAACAAAAAUCCCUCCAAGAGGCGCACGGAGCUCCCAACAAAAUCAACCCAAGGAGGUCCACGCAAAAAGUAGCAACAAAGGAAACAUGUUACAAGCCACGAAAGAAAAGACGACAGUGACACACGAGGGAAACCCUGUAAGGCUACUGGUGGGCUUUUCAGCAGAAAUCCCAGCCAGAAGGGAGCGGCACGAUACAAAGUGCCGAAGGGGAAAACGUGCAGCCGAGAAUUCUCCAUCCUGCAAGGCCGUCGUUCAGAAUGGCGCUUGCUUUGGGAGCACAUGUACUAAAGUCAGGACACCACAGAGAAGAUUAGCACGGCCCCUGCAUGUAACAGAAGGAGAGAUGAAGACCUUGCCAGGCAAACAAAAACCGAAGGGCUCAUGGCCACUGAAGCAGCCCUGCGGGAAACAUUAAAGGGGACCCUCUGAGUGGAAAAAAGACCGUAAGUGAGAGUAUGAAAAGUAAGAAGCACAGAAGCAGUGAAAAUGUGUCUGUAAAACUCAGUCAAGGGAGUCCCAAAAUCAAAGGAUGUAAAGUGUGACACCAUAUGCUCAAAUCUGGGGCGGUGGGGAAAGGAGCAGAAAGGGCUCAAACUUAAGCGACCAUCAACUUAACGUAGACUGCUGUAUGCAAAAGAUGUUAUGUACGAAGCCGAUGGGAACCACAAAUCAAGAACCAGUAAUAGAUACACACAGAAUAAAUAAAAAGAACCCAAGUGUAUCAUUGAAGAAAGCCAACAGAUCAUGAAAGAAAGCAAGAAAGGAUCACAGAAAAACUUCGUAGCCACCAAACAAGUAUUGAAGUGGCAAUAAGUACAUAUCCAUCAAUAAUUACUUGAAUGCAAGUGGACUGAACGCUCCACCGAAAAGGCACAGGGUGACAGAGUGAAUAAAAAAACAAGACCUAUCCAUAUGCUACGUACAAGAGACUCAUCUCAGACCUAAGGACGCCUGAAGACUGAAAGCGAGUAGACGGAGAAACACUUGAUACAGAUGGGUGUUAAGAGAAAGCCAGGGCAGAAAUGCUUCUACAAGACAACACAGGCUUUAACACAGACUGUAACAAGAGACACAGAAGGACACUAUAUGAUAAUAAAGGAGACGGGGCUGCUUGGGUGGCUCAGUCGGUUGAGUGACUCCUGAUCUUGGCUCAGGUUGUGAUUCACGGUUCAUGGGACUGAGCCCCAUGUUGGGCUCCGUGAGGACAGCCUGCUUGGGAGUCUGUCUCUCUCUGUCCCUCCCCCACCCAUGCUCCCUUCUUUCUCUCAAAAUAAAUAAAUGAACAUUAAAAACAAUAAUAAAGACGACAAUCCAACAACAUAUAACGAUAGUAAAUAUUUGUGCACCCCAAAUGGGAGCAACCAAAUACACAAAACAGUUAAUAACAGAAAGAAACUGAUAAUAAUAGGGGACUUUAUCACCUUACUUACAUCAAUGGACAGAUUAUCCAAACAGAAUCAAUAAGGAAACGGUGGCUUUGAAUGACACACUGGACCAGAUGGGUCUAACAGAUAUAUUCAGAACAUUCUAUCCUACAACAGUAGAAUACACAUUCUUUUCAAGCGCACACAGAACAUCCUCCUGAACAGAUCGCAUAUUAGGCGACAAAGCAAGUCUCAACAAAUUCAAAGAGUUCGAAGUCACACUGUGCGUCCUUUCUGACCACGACGCUACGAAAUGAGAGAUCAACCACAAGAAAAAAUCUGGAAAGACCACAAACACAUGGAGAUUAAAUAACAUGUUACUGAACAAUGAGUGGGUCAACCAAGAAAUCAAAGAAAUAAAAAAUUACAUAGAAACAAAUGAAAAUGAAAUCACAAAGCUCCAAAACCUCUGGGAUACAGCAAAAGCUGUUCUAAGAGGGAAGUUUAGUGCAACAGAGGACUAUCUCAAAUAAACCACCUAAUCUUACACCUAAAAGAGGUAUAUAAAAAGAAGAAUAAACAAAGCCCCAAACCAGAAGGAAGGAAAUAGUAAAGAUUAGAGCAAAAAUAAACGAUAUAGAAACUUAAAAAACCCAA